rnacentral:rRNA from 1 species
GAUGAACGCUGGCGGCGUGCCUAAUACAUGCAAGUCGAGCGAACAGACGAGGAGCUUGCUCCUCUGACGUUAGCGGCGGACGGGUGAGUAACACGUGGAUAACCUACCUAUAAGACUGGGAUAACUUCGGGAAACCGCAGCUAAUACCGGAUAAUAUAUUGAACCGCAUGGUUCAAUAGUGAAAGACGGUUUUGCUGUCACUUAUAGAUGGAUCCGCGCCGCAUUAGCUAGUUGGUAAGGUAACGGCUUACCAAGGCAACGAUGCGUAGCCGACCUGAGAGGGUGAUCGGCCACACUGGAACUGAGACACGGUCCAGACUCCUACGGGAGGCAGCAGUAGGGAAUCUUCCGCAAAGGGCGAAAGCCUGACGGAGCAACGCCGCGUGAGUGAUGAAGGUCUUCGGAUCGUAAAACUCUGUUAUUAGGGAAGAACAAAUGUGUAAGUAACUAUGCACGUCUUGACGGUACCUAAUCAGAAAGCCACGGCUAACUACGUG